rnacentral:rRNA from 1 species
UCCGUAGGUGAACCUGCGGAAGGAUCAUUACCGAGUGCGGGCCCUCUGGGUCCAACCUCCCAUCCGUGUCUAUCUGUACCCUGUUGCUUCGGCGUGGCCACGGCCCGCCGGAGACUAACAUUUGAACGCUGUCUGAAGUUUGCAGUCUGAGUUUUUAGUUAAACAAUCGUUAAAACUUUCAACAACGGAUCUCUUGGUUCCGGCAUCGAUGAAGAACGCAGCGAAAUGCGAUAAUUAAUGUGAAUUGCAGAAUUCAGUGAAUCAUCGAGUCUUUGAACGCACAUUGCGCCCCCUGGUAUUCCGGGGGGCAUGCCUGUCCGAGCGUCAUUGCUGCCCUCAAGCACGGCUUGUGUGUUGGGCUUCCGUCCCUGGCAACGGGGACGGGCCCAAAAGGCAGUGGCGGCACCAUGUCUGGUCCUCGGGCGUAUGGGGCUUUGUCACCCGCUCCCGUAGGUCCAGCUGGCAGCUAGCCUCGCAACC